rnacentral:rRNA from 1 species
ACGCUCGACACCUACGGGGGGCAGCAGUGGGGGAAUAUUGCACAAUGGGGGAAACCCGUGAUGCAGCGACGCCGCGUGAGCGAAGAAGUAUUUCGGUAUGUAAAGCUCUAUCAGCAGGGAAGAAACUGACGGUACCUGACUAAGAAGCACCGGCUAAAUACGUGCCAGCAGCCGCGGUAAUCUGAGCGGGCUGGCAAGGC